UGGGUUUGACAUCCUCGGACCGCCAUAGAGAUAUGGCUUUCCCUUCGGGGACCGAGUGACAGGUGCUGCAUGGCUGUCGUCAGCUCGUGUCGUGAGAUGUUGGGUUAAGUCCCGCAACGAGCGCAACCCUUGUCCUUAGUUGCCAGCACGUAAUGGUGGGAACUCUAAGGAGACUGCCGGUGUUAAGCCGGAGGAAGGUGGGGAUGACGUCAAGUCCUCAUGGCCUUUAUAUCCAGGGCUACACACGUGCUACAAUGGUGACUACAAAGAGCAGCAAAGCCGCGAGGUUGAGCGAAUCUCAAAAAAGUCAUCUCAGUUCGGAUCGCAGUCUGCAACUCGGCUGCGUGAAGUGGAAUCGCUA
rnacentral:rRNA from 1 species